UACAGAGGGUGCGAGCGUUGUCCGGAAUCACUGGGCGUAAAGGGCGCGUAGGCGGCGCGGUAAGUCACUUGUGAAAUCUCUGAGCUUAACUCAGAACGGCCAAGUGAUACUGCAGUGCUAGAGUGCAGAAAGGGCAAUCGGAAUUCUUGGUGUAGCGGUGAAAUGCGUAGAUAUCAAGAGGAACACCUGAGGCGAAGGCGGGUUGCUAGGCUGACACUGACGCUGAGUGCGCGAAAGCCAGGGGAGCAAACGGG
rnacentral:rRNA from 1 species